AACCUACCUUCAUUACCUAAAAACAAAUUAUCAUAGAUUAUUUUAUUCCAUCUCUAGUUACUAAGAUAGAGGGAAAGCAAAUGGUAUAUAUUCCAACUGCAUUAUAUUGACUUUUGAAACUAAAUUGUCCCUUCAGUGAUAUGCAUGUGAUUUCUACUUUGGUGAAUAAGGUUUGGGCAUAUGUGUUGUGCCUGGGAGCAUAAAUUUGCCCUUAAUCUGCAAAUAUAUCCCAGAGAAUCCCUUUCCUUUCCAGUCUCUCAACUUUACCACUCUUGUGAUGCUAUCAUUAAACUAAUUUUCUCUUCUUAAAAUGUUCAAGUGUAGAUAAGACUACUCAUUACAUCACAAAGAAGAAAAAAGAGGCAAAAUGCCACUUUUUCUUCCUUUGUAGCUCAACUCUGAUGUGGGCAGUCUGUGGUCCUACAGUCUGGGAUUCUUUUGUUCUGAAGCAGUCAAUUGUAUAUUAGCUCAAGCAUUUUCAAAGACCAGAAUUAUCUGCAAAAAUGCAAAGCCAUAUUUUGCUUGGCAGUGUAUUUCUUUGAAACAUCUGUUUAUUGUUGAUGUGCUUUGUAUUUGUGUAAGUGUCUUCCUCUGGCCAGCAUUUUGCUUCCAAUUUCAGUUCCUCUAUCUCACUGUCGGGUAUCAUUACUAUCUAACAGGAAACAUUUAAUUUGUAAACGAAAUUAUCUGCAGAGCCCUCAGGGUUCAUAAAACUAUGAUGUGCUAAUUGACAGAAAUAAGAAACCACAGAGCAUUUCUGCAAACUACCCCUUGUGUCAAUCCUCAAAUUGCAAUUGUUGCAACUGUCCACUGUAAAGGUGGUUGAACUUGAGAUGAAAGGUUGCUCUGGACAAGAUUUACAAAAAAGCCAUUUUACAGAAAUGAGAUGUCUUAAAGGGCCUGUUUCUCAGGAAGGGUUGAACAACCAUUUCCUAAAGCAAAAAGCAGCCCCUUGGAAGCAUUCAAAACCUAGAAAUGGAGACACUCAAACUCAGGAAUCACUUUCUAGAAAUCCCAGUUUCCACAUAGAGGGAGAUGAGGAAGGAUCACUUCAGUAGUAAAAAACAAAAAUCUUAUCAAUAUUGCAUACAUAUAAAAUCUGUGGUUCGGAUUUUUGAUUAUAUUGUGUUAUAGCUCAAUUCAGUUAAAUGAAGAUACAACAAUCCUCAAUCUCUACCGCCUCUGUACUGUCCCCCACACAGAGGACAUGGUAAUAAUCUGCAGAUUUUUUCUGCAAGGUAGCUCGGUGUCCUUCUCCAUGGUAAGUAUGUUUUCUUACCCUUGAAAUCAAGGGAAAGACAGUUCAGCACUUGAAAUCAGUGAAAGCCUGUUGCCCAAAUAAAAAUUAAACGCUUUUUUGAUUAAGUGGAAUUUAGUCCAGAAGGUAGGGUAUAUAUGUACCUUACAGGUUAACUAAGAUUAUAUAUAGAGAGAGAGAAUACAAGUUUGCAUAAAUUCAGGUUUAGUUCAUCAGACACUGUGAAAGGACAGCAUAAAGCAGUGUAUAAAGUGAAGUGAGUGAUUUUAAUACGAAAGGUGGAAAAAGAGGAUCGAGAGGUAAGGGGGAAGAAGGAUGACAAUGUUGUGAGAAGCAAAGAACCCAUAAAAACAAAGGGGUCACAGAAGCUAAUUCAGGUAAUCCAGUGAUGGCUAUAGGCACCCCUCAUCUCAUGCUCUUCUGAUUCCCAGCCCUGGAGCCAACGAGCGGGCAUGCUGACCAGCCUUUCUCCUUCUGAGUCCAUACAUGGCAUGAGCCAUGGAGUAACCACAAGUCAAAAAAAAAAAUCGCUGCACCAAAAGAGACCCUGUGCUCAGCCAGAGGUAACCAUGGGCAGCCCCAACACACAGCCGCAGUGAAUGCUACUAAGGAAAUAGGUUAGGCAGCUUUCUCUCUCAGAUAACUUAUAAGAUAUGGGCCCAGAGGUCUCGGCCACUCCAUAUUAAAAAAGUUUAGAUACACAGCAGUGAGGGCCCCUGGAAAAAGGAGACAGAGGUCUUGAGCCCUGAGCUAAGGAAGCUGGCAAGCUAAACCCUGGGCUAUGACAGCAGGCCCUUUUCUUUUCUCAUGUUCCCAACCUUACUGUCCUGGUAGCCUUUCCAGGAGAGGCUAGACCCAUCCUCAGAAAGAAGUACAGGCCAAAAUUGUGGGAUCAGCACUGCCCUGAUACUUUCUGACUUGGAACCCGGCUGCUGUUCAGGUGGGUCGGGAGCCCAUCUAAGCUAUACUUGCAUUGGGGAGGGGGAGGAAGGAGGAGGAAAACUUGGUCACCCUAUAGCCCAUGCUUAUAUGUAGUCAAAGGGGGCCAACGGCAGCCUUGAGAUCACACUUUUCCACCUGCCAGCCAUAGUGUAGAGCCACCAAGUCUGCAUGCCUUCUCUUGCUGAGUCCAUAUGCGAUGUGAGCAGCAGGGUCAGGACUCUCCAUAUAUUAAAAAAAUCAGGAUUACUCUUCUCAGGCAGCAAAACUUUAAAAAAGUUUGAAAGGAAAAUUGCAGAACAGGAGAUGUCACAGUCGCAGACCUAUGUUAAGUAUGGUUUAAAUGGAGACUUCAGAUUCCUAUCCCAUUACCUGAAUUUGCUGUGGUGACUAGAGAUGUGAAGGCCAAGAAAAAAAAAAAAAUUUAGAAAAAAAAAUGUUUUUUUCCCCAUUUUUCAUAGGACUUUUUUUUUGUUUUUUCCCCCAAAAUUGAAAUUUUUUGGAAAAAUUUAUAAAAACCUCUUAUGAAGUAUUUUCUUUUAGAAUGAUCAAUAAAAUGUUUAAGACAAGGUGUUCAUAUAUUGCUACCCUUUACUCCCCAAAAAUGUUUUCUGAUAACUAUGUAAUAGGAAGACUUUUAUACAAGACUAUGUACAAUAUCAGACCAUUACAAUUCCCGUAUACCGAGGACAAGCAAUACAGUACAACUUUCAAAUGCAAGAGCGAGAUGCAUUUCUGCCCCCAGGGGGUGCUGCCAUUUUCACAAGAGGAGAAAGAAGGCUUCAGUGCUGCCUUUGCUUGUGGACUUCCUCUAUUGUUGACAUUUGAUCUAGAGGUUGGUGGAUCUGCUCCUGUCCUCCUGACUAGGCCUUGGAGGAUUGGGAGUGGACGCUGGCAGUAGCAUCCAUUCAUUCCUGUACAGCUUAGAAACCAGGAGCUUAUUGCCCUGCUUUUUCAAAAGCCUCAGGAGAGGAGACCGAGCAAGUCUAAAGGUUUUGGAGAAGUACAGAAGCAGUGCAAUGGAGCUGAAAGAGAGUAUACUUCCUUAUUGAAAGCAAAAUUGUGCGACCAACUUCUAGCAUAUGGAAGCAUUUCCACACUGCAAGUUAUUCUGAGAAUAAAAUGUGAUUUGCAAAUACUGUCAAAUGAAAUAUGCAUUUCCAAAUGCUACUAGGAUGACCAAAGACAUCCUUGUAUGCAAGAAGUGUUCUGCAGAUAUUAAAAAAUCCUUCAUGGGUGUAAGUGAGGAGGAGGUAAAUCAUGAUGAUGAAAGUGCAAGUAGUUCUUUCCAAUGUUCUCAGUCCAGAAGUCCUCCUGCUGCUGCUGCUUCUUCUAUAACAUCAGCAUCACAAAGGGUUGUCCAAUCAACAUCCUCAAGUAACCAAAUAUUGCAACCAACUGUAUACAAAAGACUCUCAAUAACGUAAUUUGUAGACAAGAUGACACCUGAAGAUCAGAAAAAAUUGACCAAGCUCUUGCAAGAGCAAUAUAUUUUUCUGGGAUACCAUUAUCAAUAACUGAAAAUGCAUACUGGCAGGAAGCUUUUAAAUGACUAAGAACAUCAUACCGUUUGCCCAACAGACAUUCUUUGAGCAAGCUUCUUUUAGAGUCAGAAUAUGAACGUGUAAUGCAAUCUGUGCAAGGAAAAAUCAAUGAAGCACUGUGUCUUGUAGUAGUUACAGAUGGAUGGACAAAUGUGCGGGGAGAAGGAAUCAUAUAUUUUGUGAUAACAACACCUCAGCCAGUUUUUUACAGAAGCACUGAAACAGGAGAGAACAGGCAUACUGCAGAGUAUAUCAUUAGUAAAAUAUAUGAAGUCCUACAGAAGAUUGGGAGUGGUAAAGUUAUUUGCUUUGCUGACUGACAAUGCAAGUAACAUGAAAGCAGCAUGGGGGAUCAUAAUGGAUAAAUAUCCACAUAUUACUGCAAUAGGAUGUGCAUCCGAUGGGCUAAACUUGCUUCUUAAUAACAUCAUGAAGUUGAACACUGCAAAAGAUCUAUAGAAGAGCAAAAGAAGUUAUAAAAUGUGUAAAGGCUACUCAUAUUGUAGUUGCAGUCUUUAAGAAGAAGCAGGAAGAAAAGAAUGCAAAGAAUAAAAUAGAGACACUCAAACUCUGUAGUAAAACUAGAUGGGGUGGAGUGGUGAUCUCAUUUGAAAGUUUACUAAAAAACAAAGAUGCUCUUCAAGAAACAGUAAUAAUUGAGGAUCUUAAAGUACCCAGAAGUGUAAGCAACACUGUACUUGAUGAGGAUGUCUUCUUGGUUCAGCUGCAGAACUCCCUGAAGAUUGUAAAGCUAAUUUCUUCAGCGAUCACUGCAUCUGGAUCAGACAGUGCACUUUUGUCAGACAUUCCUUACCAAAUGGCCCAGAUAAAAUCAAUUGUCUUAAGAAUUUAAAUGCAUCUCCGCUUACAAGUACAGAAGAAAAAAAGUGAAAGACUUUAAUAACAAACGGGAAGAAUUUUGUUGCCAAUCAAUUCCAUGCUGCUCCAAAUCUCUUGGAUCCAAGAUUCAAAGGCAGAAGUGUUAGAGGUGAUAGCACUGCUACUGCAUUUCACUGGAUUACAAAACAAGCAACACACUUAGGACUUGAUGUUGGAAAUGUACUUUCAAAUGUUGCAGAAUACAGAACAUCUUCAGGUAUUUGGUCCAGGAAUGCAGUCUGGGACUCUGCCAAGGAUAUAUCCCUCCUGCAGCAUGGUGGCAAGGCCUUUGCAGGACACAGCCUUUGUCUCCUCUUGCUUCUCAACUGUUUCAGAUUCCUCCAUCUUCUGCAGCAUGUGAAAGAAACUGGUCUAUGUUUGAAAAUACUCACACCAAAUCAAGAAACAAAUUAACAUGUGAAACAGUAGAGAAGCUUUUCUCAAUCCAGGCAAAUCAGUUUUCAGAAGUCCAUGAAGAUGGUAAAAAUGAAGGAGCAGAAGAAGCAGAAAAUGCUGAUAGUGAUAGCUCAGAAAAUGAGACUGAUUAGACAAAGUUUCAUGUAGCAAAAUUUGUAUUCAAUGAGUCUUGGCUUUUUUCUCCUUUUUUUUUCUCAGCUCUUUUUCUAAAAAUGAGUGCUUUCUGUAUCUGCUUGACACUAUGGAAGAGACUACGUCCAGAAUAUGUGAUAACUUUCUUUGUUUUACUAUAACGUUCAUAGUUUCUUCUAUCUUCAACUUUGAUUUUUGCCUGCUUCUUAUAAACUGGCAAAAACUAAGAGAUGCUAGUUCCUUAGAGUUCAGCAGCUUGUAGCUCCAUUUGUAACAAAAAUUAAAAACAUUUUAAAGUAAA